rnacentral:rRNA from 1 species
GCGAACGCUGGCGGCAGGCUUAACACAUGCAGGUCGAGCGGGCACUUUCGGGUGUCAGCGGCGGACGGGUGAGUAACGCGUGGGAACGUGCCCUCUGGUUCGGAAUAACUCAGGGAAACUUGAGCUAAUACCGGAUACGCCCUUUUGGGGAAAGGCUUGCUGCCGGAGGAUCGGCCCGCGUCUGAUUAGCUAGUUGGUGAGGUAACGGCUCACCAAGGCGACGAUCAGUAGCUGGUCUGAGAGGAUGAUCAGCCACACUGGGACUGAGACACGGCCCAGACUCCUACGGGAGGCAGCAGUGGGGAAUAUUGGACAAUGGGCGCAAGCCUGAUCCAGCCAUGCCGCGUGAGUGAUGAAGGCCUUAGGGUUGUAAAGCUCUUUUAUCCGGGACGAUAAUGACGGUACCGGAGGAAUAAGCCCCGGCUAACUUCGUG